AGAAUCAACGCUGGCGGCGUGCCUCAGACAUGCAAGUCGAACGCGAAAGUUUCCUUCGGGAGGCGAGUAGAGUGGCGCACGGGUGAGUAACACGUAGGUAAUCUACCUUUGGGUGGGGAAUAACAGCCGGAAACGGCUGCUAAUACCGCAUAAUGCAGCGGCUCGACAUCGAGACAGUUGUUAAAGCGGGGGAUUCGUAAGAACCUCGCGCCUAAAGAGGAGCCUGCGGCGGAUUAGCUAGUUGGUAAGGUAAUGGCUUACCAAGGCAUCGAUCC
rnacentral:rRNA from 1 species